rnacentral:rRNA from 1 species
CUCAGGACGAACGCUGGCGGCGUGCCUAAUACAUGCAAGUCGAGCGGAAAUUUAUGGUGCUUGCACCUUAAAUUUAGCGGCGGACGGGUGAGUAACACGUGGGUAACCUACCUUAUAGAUUGGGAUAACUCCGGGAAACCGGGGCUAAUACCGAAUAAUACUUUUUAACACAUGUUUGAAAGUUGAAAGACGGUUUCGGCUGUCACUAUAAGAUGGACCCGCGGCGCAUUAGCUAGUUGGUGAGGUAACGGCUCACCAAGGCAACGAUGCGUAGCCGACCUGAGAGGGUGAUCGGCCACACUGGGACUGAGACACGGCCCAGACUCCUACGGGAGGCAGCAGUAGGGAAUCUUCCACAAUGGACGAAAGUCUGAUGGAGCAACGCCGCGUGAGUGAAGAAGGAUUUCGGUUCGUAAAACUCUGUUGCAAGGGAAGAACAAGUAGCGUAGUAACUGGCGCUACCUUGACGGUACCUUGUUAGAAAGCCACGGCUAACUACGUGCCAGCCGCCGC